rnacentral:rRNA from 1 species
CAGUAGCCGCGGGAAUACGAGGGGGGCAAGCGUUGUUCGGAAUUAUUGGGCGUAAAGGGCGCGUAGGCGGUUUGGCAAGUUUGGUGUGAAAUCUUCGGGCUCAACUCGAAGUCUGCAUCGAAAACUGCCGGGCUUGAGUAUGGGAGAGGUGAGUGGAAUUUCCGGUGUAGCGGUGAAAUGCGUAGAUAUCGGAAGGAACACCUGUGGCGAAAGCGGCUCACUGGACCAUAACUGACGCUGAGGCGCGAAAGCUAGGGGAGCAAACAGGAUUAGAUACCCCCGUAGUCCCUGUCUCUUAUAC